rnacentral:rRNA from 1 species
GACGAACGCUGGCGGCGUGCUUAACACAUGCAAGUCGAACGGAAAGGCCCUGCUUUUUGGGGGUGCUCGAGUGGCGAACGGGUGAGUAACACUUGAGUAACCUGCCCUUUACUUUGGGAUAACUUCAGGAAACUGGGGCUAAUAGCGGAUAGGAGCUCCUGCUGCAUGGUGGGGGUUGGAAAGUUUCGGCGGUUGGGGAUGGACUCGCGGCUUAUCAGCUUGUUGGUGGGGUAGUGGCUUACCAAGGCUUUGACGGGUAGCCGGCCUGAGAGGGUAACCGGACCCAUUGCGAUUGAGCUAAGGCCCAGCCCACUCCGGGAGGCAGCGGUGCAGAAUAUUGUCCAGUGGGAUGAAGCAUGAUCUAGCACAGCCGCGUGCGGGAUGACGGCAUUCUGGUUGUAAACCGCUUUCCUCUCUGCCGAAGCGUGAGUGACGGUACUCGGUAAAGAAGCCCCGGCUAACUACGUG